rnacentral:lncRNA from 1 species
GAGGAAAUAGGACAGAAAGGUCACACAGAAGCCGUAAAGCCAAUGAUCUCUUAUAAAGCAGUUAUUUAGGUUCUCAGUGGCACUGUUCAUCUUCUGGAAGGGAGAUCACUCCAUUCUCUGCCCAUCCCUGUGUCAUCAGCAUAGCUCUGGAUGCUUGGAGUAAAAGAAGAAAGCCUAUUCUACCUUGUUGCUGCUGUACACUCAGAGAUGGGGUUUUUGCCAUGUUGCCCUGGCUGAUCUUGAGCUCCUGAGCUCAAGCAAUCGUCCUGCUCAGACACCAUCUUUAAUCAUCCUGUAGUUUUUGGAAGCUUUCCUCUUGCUGAUGACAUGAUUCCUGUUUGAAUCUGUUGACAAGAUUCUGAAAGCCGAACAGAGAAUUCUGGCACUGCAUUGGGUAGGAAAAAGCUUUUCAAGAAAUAGAUAAUAUCAAGGAGACUGGGACACCGGGAGUGGGAGAGAUUGGACUGGGAGACUCAGCAGGUCAGGACAUUUGCAUUACCAUUUGCUGGUCAUUCUUUUGCCAUCAGUUUUACAAUUCUCUUGCCACUUGCUUAUUUCUUCCAUGUGCUUACUUGAGUUGUUCUCGGUUUGCAAUUUAUGAAUAACACUCUAAUAAUAUAAGAAGCCGAGCAUUUGGGUGUCUUCCUUUUAUAGUUUGAAGAUGAGAAAAAAAAAAAAAACCAAUUAAAAGAAACUAUCAAGAAUAGAAAAAAAAUUUCUUACC